GUGUUACAGCAGCGUUGCAGAUUCACUUGGCCUGGAGCUGAGAGAGAAGCAGAAGGAUCAAGCACGUCGACAACGCCUCCAAAGACACAUGGACAACCUGAAACCGAGGAGAUCGGUAACCGGCAGACAGUCUGCUGCACAUAGCACUGCCGUACUGUACAGCACGGAGGUCUCCUACUUCCCCUCUGUGUUUCUGCUGACUCCGCUGAGCCGUCCUCACCGGUGCUCCCUGGAAAGAAGUUUAAGGUUGAAGGUUGUUGUUGCUGGGCGUGAAGCCCCAGCCCUCCUUCACCCCUCUGCUCGUCGAGAAAGACCCUGAAACAGCCUCUCCCUGCAGGGCUAGAGGGGCCAAAUGUAGACAUAAAAAUCCAGCUUCUGAUUCCAUCCAAGGUUUUACACAUCAGGACCACCCUCUCCCACAUGCUCCAGAUGUCUGCGGUAAGGGAAUCGUGUCAGACAUGAAGUAGCUGAAACAUCUCUCAGCCUGCCUGCCUCCCUCCCUUCAUUCAGUCAGCAAUACAGAAGCAAGCAGCUUUCAAGCGGUUAUUCUGUUAUGAUAAAUUGAAA